CUUAUUCUUCUGGUGCAUGCUGGUGUCU
rnacentral:piRNA from 1 species